GACGAACGCUGGCGGCGUGCUUAACACAUGCAAGUGGAGCGACGAACCAGGCUUGCCUGGGGCAGAGCCGCGAACGGGUGAGUAACACGUGGGUAACCUACCCCGAAGAUCGGGACAACCCGAGGAAACUCGGGCUAAUACCGAAUGUGGUCAUGGCUUGUAAGAACCAUGAGCAAAGGAAGCUUCGGCCUCCACUUUGAGCGGGGCCCGCGGCCCAUUAGCUUGUUGGUGCGGUAACGGCGCACCAAGGCGACGAUGGGGAGCUGGUCUGAGCGGAAGAGCAGCCACACUGGGAAUGAGACACGGCCCGGACUCCUACGGGAGGCAGCAGUGGGGAAUCUUGCGCAAUGCGCGAAAGCGGGACGCAGCAACGCCGCGGGGGGGAAGACGGCCUUCGGGUUGUAAACCCCUUUCAGGAGGGACGAAGCUCUGGCAGUUAACAGCUGUCCAGAGUGACGGUACCUCACUAAGAAGCCCCGGCUAACUACGUGCCAGCAGCCGCCGUAA
rnacentral:rRNA from 1 species